rnacentral:misc_RNA from 1 species
AAAAGAGUAUGCCAACUGCACAUUAAAUAACAAUAUAAACAUAAGUAGGUAGGUGUUAGACUCAAAUUGGUUCAAUUCACAGUCAAAAGUAAAAUACUUGCACUAAUUCCUACUAGCAAUAUUAUAUAUGAAAAGGAUCCAACUUCCUCAGCAAUGUCUUGUACCAUAAAACCAGAAUCCUACUAAGCAAAAGUAUGAACCAUUUAUGAGUCUCAACAUCUAACAUAUUUCUGACUUCUGAGCCUCUUCUACUUCCAACUCCUCUGCAUUUACUACUGGAACUAAGCUGUCGACAUAACUAUAGAACUCACAUGUAUAGUCAGAACUGCA